rnacentral:rRNA from 1 species
GUACCGUGAGGGAAAGGCGAAAAGAACCCCGGCGAGGGGAGUGAAAAAGAACCUGAAACCGUGUACGUACAAGCAGUGGGAGCACCCUUUGGGGUGUGACUGCGUACCUUUUGUAUAAUGGGUCAGCCGGGCCAGCCCAGAUUCAGGCUGACGCUUUUUAUCUGUGUGCUCAGGGUACCGGUAAUUCCUGUCUCCUUACCGUUGUCAUCAGCGUACCGGUAACUGCCGGUCGUGGAGGCCGGGUAAUAGCUCCGCUGC